rnacentral:tRNA from 1 species
AAGGGAGACCUAAUUCAGGUAGGAGACGAAAAAAAAGUAGUCGCUACCAAGAAUCAAUCCCAAAAGGUCGGAGCGAGGCGAAAUUGGCUUUCAAACUAGGUUCUGGGUUCAAACAAGACCUGAAUCAGGAACAAGGGCUAUUAGCUCAGGUGGUUAGAGCGCACCCCUGAUAAGGGUGAGGUCCCUGGUUCGAGUCCAGGAUGGCCCACCUGCACAGGUGGCAAAAACAAGAGAAGCGAGGAAUCAGCACCUUAUCCUACUUAUAUAGUAAGAGAGAAUGCUGGCUCUGAGUAAAGAGUCCAGAGGAACCUUGAAAACUGCAUAGAGCUAGGUGAAAAAGCCAAAAAAGAAGACCGCAA